UUCAGAGUCUGCUCCCAUUACCUGUCCACACUUGCAGCGCUCUCUGUGGUUCCGAGCCCCCGCGAGGGCUCGUCUCCCUGCCCUCAGCCACUCUGCUCCCUCAGUGGAGACCAAGGUCCUGGAGGGGGUCCCCCCAGGCAGAGUGAGGCAGGAGAGGCUGCAGCGGGGUUUGAGGGCUGCUGACGAGGCUGGACUGGGUAGCCCAGCUCUGAGCUGGCAGCACCGGCUCCCGGCGAGCAAGAGAGCCGAGGAGAGCAGAGGAGGGCAGCCUGCAUCUGCAGGGAGAUCUCAGAGAGACAUUGCCUGCUAGGAAUAGUGAAUACAGAAAAAACAGAUGGAAAGAAGCAGUUCUUGGAGCUCCUGGAUACAGCUGUGUCUGAAACCCACCCCCUGGACUUUUCAGUCACACACAGCAAUAAACACCCCUUUCCUUUAGUGCUUUUUAGUUAUUUUUGUCAUUUGCAGCCAAACAAUAGCAACUAUAUCCUUGG
rnacentral:lncRNA from 1 species